CAGACAGGUGGAGAAUAUUCAGAGUACGCGAAGGGUGUUGAAAAUGAUGAUAUUCGCCGUUUGUUGGUUGACCCUCCACAUCUAUUUCAUAUUCACAUCAUCUGGCGCUGACACAGACUCCUUUCAUUCAGGAAGUCUAUUUAGGCAUCUAUUGGCUGGCCAUGGGUAACUCCAUCUACAAUCCGAUUAUCUACUGCUGGAUGAACUCAAGGAAUACUACAUGAUUCUAUAACAACUACGAAUUAAAAUUCGAAUGCACACUUUUACUGUUCUGAAUUCAUCAUUGUGUUAAUAGUCGCCAGCUUACAUCAUCACCGACCGGUUACGUAGAUAAUCAAGGUAUUGGGACACUGAGAGGUACUUUCGGAGAAGGAACAUUUCUAUUUUUAUUUCGGUGAUAUUAGAUAUAGCCGCAAUAUAUUCUUUAAAUAUUUUAUACAUUGARAUGUAAASAUAAUGUCAAAUAGUGGUAAGCUUUUACAGUUAAUAUUGUUCUAAAACUCUA